UUUUCUUAAACAAAAGGUCAAACACCCACUCUCCUGAUGGAUCGUCAGCUCCUCAACGGGUAACAAAGAAAUUGCAAUGGUGUAUUCGAUUGCCUCGUGGCUUUUCUAAGAGAAAGAAAGGAAAAACCAGAGGAAAAAUAAACGAGAAAAACACUAGCGCAUAGACAAAUGGCAUCCCUGGCAACCCAUUUCUCGGCCUUCCUCCUCCUCUUCCCCGUAGGCCUCCGCCGCCUCCACUCCUCCUCCUCUCUCUACCUCAAAAACCCAUCUGUCUACCGCUCCAAAACGUGGUAUUUUUCCGAACCCAGAUGGAAAAACCUCGAUUUCUACAGCCUCAUCAUCGCCCUCCCCAUUGCCUCCUUCUCCGAAAUCUUCAUCUUCUUGACCUUCUCCGGUCACCCCACCUACCGAUUCUCAUUUUUCCAGCAAUCAGUGACACUUUUUCUCUUCUGGGCAUUGAUCAUUCUCGUCAUUCUCCGUGAAUACACAGGCCCUUUGCUUAUAAAUGAAGGUUUUGUAUUCUUAUUCGCUGGAAUUUCAUUUAUUGUCGAAUAUUCAGUGAUCGGGAAGGGAAUUACGGGUGUCUCUGGGGCUGUGUAUGAUUUGUUAGGUGCGUUGACGAUCCUUUGUGCAGGUUCUUCCUUGUAUUUAUCUGUCAACCCUUCAGCGUUCUUCGCCGAGUUUUUGUUAUCAUCAGGAUUGGUUUUCAAGGGCACUUGGGUGUUACAGACCGGCUUGUCUUUGUACACCGAUGUAUUUGGUUUAAAAGGAUGCAAAAAAAUGUCCUUAUUGUCGGCUCAGGGGAAUGCUGAUUUGCAAUGUGAUCUUCAGGAGGAUAGGUUAAGGGGUGUUGCUCUGAUGAAUUUGCUAUUUACUGGGCAUGCAAUCCUGGUCUUGGCUGUUAGCAUUGUGUUGUUUGGGUUGCUGUCGAGUAACCGGGCUUUAAGGUGUGGCGAGGCAAGCGGGCCGUUGCUAAUGGAGCUUGAGUCCGAGACAAUGUCGAUGCGUGCACAUCCGGAGCUUGAGAUGGACUGAGAUAUAUGGUCUUUUUUGCUGUUUUUCACUGUAUUUAGUGCAAAAGAAUUGGUCUAAUGGGGGGAUUAGGGCUGUUCAUUCUCUACAGGUGCCCCCGGGAAAAUUUCUGGCAUUGUUUUUGUCUCCAGAAGCGCUAGCCAGAAAGUUCGCAUGACGCUUAGCUUGAGUGAAGCGCAGGCAGAGGGUUUGCUCGAGCGAACAUCGGAUAGAGAGUUUGCUCGAGGCGUGCUCAAUACUCCGCUUGAGCGAAUAACGCAGAUUAGUGAAAAUUAGGGUUUUCGCUGUAUGACAUUAUAAUUAUGUAUUUAAUGAACUAAGUUCUGAGGCUUUUGAGUAGUGAAAUUUUGCCCUAAAGUGUAUUUUGUGAUUUUUCAGUACAAUAAAAUCUUCUGUAGCUCUGUGGACGUAGGUACAUUGUCGAACCACGUUAAUUUUGUGUCGUGUGAUUGAUUUACUUGUGUUUACUUU